rnacentral:sRNA from 1 species
AGCCCCGGUGGCCGAAUGGGUAAUGCGGCCACCUGGUAGCGCCUUGGCGUGGGGACCCAAGGCGCGUGGGUUCGAAACCCGCAGGGGACAACAUUACAUCCGGAGCCAACUUCUCAGCUCCUAAAAUAAUGGGAUGUGAACCUGCCAAGUAGGUACCUUCGGGCGGACCUACUACUUGAUUUAGCUGAUUUUUCCUGGGCUGGGAACCUGUAUUGCAUGUACCAAAUCCUGUCUUUCAUUAAUUUUCCUAUGUUCCUGUUAUAUUCUUGGCGUCGUUCAACACUAAGCAUUCCUCCUGUAUAACCAACUCUUGCCUGUAUUUAACAUCACACAAGGACUCGUCAUAAGCACUGCUUGCAUACGAGUAUAACAGAAGAAUAAUAAUAAUAAUAAUACUGC